GUAGGUGAACCUGCGGAAGGAUCAUUAUUGAAUAAAUCUGAUGAGGUUGUAGCUGGCUCUCCGGAGCAUGUGCCCACCCAUCACCUUUAUCUUUCCACCUGUGCACACACUGUAGUCCUGGAUACCUCUCGCCGAAAGGCGGAUGCAGAGCCUGCUGUCAGCUUUCGAAAGAAGGCCGGCUUGCUCUGAAUUUCCAGGUCUAUGAUCUUAUACACCCCAAACGAAUGUUAUAGAAUGUCAUCAAUGGGCU
rnacentral:misc_RNA from 1 species